AGAUGACGUCCAUUCCUUAUGCCAUCAGUUAGCUCAGUGGCACCCAUUUGCAGGUUGACCAGCCAACCUUUUUAGCAAGGUCUCUCAGUCGGCUCGUGCUUUGUGGCCAGAAGGAUCCACGGGGAAAAUCCUGGAUCCGGUGAAGCUUUCAAGGCACCCAACUUCCAUGGGUCUGCAGAUACAUGAGGCAGAGCAACAGGUCCCAGGAUUCCAAAAAAUAUCCUGUUGAAGCCAAAUGGACACUAAAUACAAGCAUCGGACACCUAUUUUUACUGAACUCAGACUCAGAGGGGGAAUAGAAAUCCCAUUGUCGGGAAUUUAGAACUUUUGAUAGACUUUUGAGUUGUAUUUUUAUUUGAACACUUUCUUUACUUUGCAUAACUAUUCCAAAAAACUGGAAUUUCUCUUCUUGAUUGGUUUCCACCUUCCACCUUGCUUCUUGUCCUGCCUUCAGGUGCUUUGGAGAAUAGCUUGGCUCCCUCUUCUUUGGGGCAGCCCCUGAGAUAUUGGAAGACUGCUAUCAUGUCUCCCCUAGUCCUUCUUUUCAUUAAACUAGACAUAACCCAUUCUAGCAACCAUUCUUUAUAUGUUUUACCCUUAAUCAAUAAUACUUUUUCCUUAUUUGUGGUUUAGUGCGGUGUGACGUAAACCUAUCUGAUACAGUUUGAAGUUUAUAAACCAUCAUUUGUGGCUUAGCACAUUGUGAGAACUUUGUUACUUAAGGUUUAGUCAGUAGUUUGUGAUCAAAACAGCCAAGGCUUUGUUGGAUGCUUAUCCUACGGUUGGGUAGAUAAUAUAUAGAAAACUAUGUUCUGUAACUUUAACUGACCUAACUCUCCUCUUUUAAAUUUUUUAAUUCGUGAUUUUAUAAAUUGGGUGUUUUAAUCUGUGUUUCGGCCAAAAUAUUUAAUAAUUUUAAGGGAUUUUUAAUAUUUGUAUUAUCUGUAUUUUAUCUUGGCUGUUCACCGCCCUGAGUCCUUCGGGAGUAGGGCGGUAUAGAAAUUUGAUUAAUAAAUAAAUAAAUAAUAAAUAACUGCUACAAAGACGACUAAUUGUCUGUGCUAAGCAGACAUAAAAGAAGGCAGGAAGUUCAUUCACUUCUGCUCCUGCUAUUAGAAGGUUGAACUGCUGAAAGGAACUGUGUCUGUGUUACUGAAGAGAACUGGAAUUGUAAGCAAACUAUGUUUUUGUGUUGAACCGUGAUUAUUUGAAGAAGUGUUAUCUUUGUUUUGAAAAGCCAAGUUUCUUUUACUACAAGUAAAGACUGUUUAUUUUUCUUUAAA